rnacentral:rRNA from 1 species
GAUGAACGCUGGCGGCGUGCCUAAUACAUGCAAGUAGAACGCUGAAGGAGGAGCUUGCUCUUCUGGAAGAGUUGCGAACGGGUGAGUAACGCGUAGGUAACCUGCCUCUUAGCGGGGGAUAACUAUUGGAAACGAUAGCUAAUACCGCAUAAAAGUCGACAUUGCAUGAUGUUGACUUGAAAGGUGCAACUGCAUCACUAAGAGAUGGACCUGCGUUGUAUUAGCUAGUUGGUGAGGUAACGGCUCACCAAGGCGACGAUACAUAGCCGACCUGAGAGGGUGAUCGGCCACACUGGGACUGAGACACGGCCCAGACUCCUACGGGAGGCAGCAGUAGGGAAUCUUCGGCAAUGGGGGCAACCCUGACCGAGCAACGCCGCGUGAGUGAAGAAGGUUUUCGGAUCGUAAAGCUCUGUUGUAAGAGAAGAACGAGUGUGAGAGUGGAAAGUUCACGCUGUGACGGUAUCUUACCAGAAAGGGACGGCUAACUACGUGCCAGCAGCCGCGGUAAUACGUAGGUCCCGAGCGUUAUCCGGAUUUAUUGGGCGUAAAGCGAGCGCAGGCGGUUAGAUAAGUCUGAAGUUAAAGGCUGUGGCUUAACCAUAGUACGCUUUGGAAACUGUUUAACUUGAGUGCAGAAGGGGAGGGUGGAAUUCCAUGUGUAGCGGUGAAAUGCGUAGAUAUAUGGAGGAACACCGGUGGCGAAAGCGGCUCUCUGGUCUGUAACUGACGCUGAGGCUCGAAAGCGUGGGGAGCAAACAGG